CUCUACCUGGUCAUGUCCAAAAACGUUGUCUGCGGCGUCUUGAUCAAGGAGCAGGAUUUCCAUCCGAGUUCAAUUUACUUCAUCUCCAGAGUCUUAGCAAGACCAGAGACGCACUACCAAAAAAUUGAGAAGGCGACUCUAGCAUUUGUCACCGCGUCAAGAAAGCUGCAUAGGUAUUUAUCGAUUAAAAGGUUUACCGCAAGCAAAAUGGAAAAUAGCAAAAAGGAAAGAAAAAGGGAAAAAAGAGAAGAAAAUGAAGCUUUCAAAGAGAUAAUGGACUACCAAAGCAAAUGGACUUGUGGCGCCCAUUAUCCAAGGAGUAUGGCGCCUGCCACAUUGGUCCAAGAGGUAGGUGGUGCCCGCCACCAACCUUUGAGAAGUGGUUGCUACAAAGGUGACGCCCGCCACUCAUUAAGAAGCUAGGGUUGUGGCAACCGCCACAACCUAGUCUUCCACCAUUUUUGGUCGAGAAAACUCUAACAAGGCCAUUGUCAAUGCGAAGCGAGACCGGAUUAUUUUUGGAGGCUUAAUAACCUCCAUAGCCAGAGUCCUAGGACUCGAAGAAAAAUUCUCCAGGCUAACCCCGCUCCCGCAUCAUGCCAUUGACAUUGACAUUGACAUGGCAAGGAGCAUGAAACUAUUAAAAUGAAGGAGUGAUGGUAAAUUUAAUUUAAUAAUUGCUAAUAAUGUGUUACAAGAUUUUAUCCUCCCAAAUCCAAAUCGCACAGAUGUGCGCAACCCGGAUAAUUAUUGUUAUACUAAUGAUUUGGUGCCUAACCAAGUCCCCGCACACAUUUCUGAGAAUGUAGUUGCUCGCGGGGACAACGAUGAGGAUCACAUUCUGAAGCAAACUGCUCCCGCUACUGACCCACACACCACACAUACUUUAUUUGAAAAUGUUGCAGGUACAUCUUCCAGUCAAAGACCAAGAAGAAAUGUGGCACCAGCCACUCUUGAUGAGAUCUACGUUGAACUGCUGCGACGUAGCUAAUUAGACGCUCAGCGAGACCUACAGAUCCAAACCAUGGGAGCUCAGCAAACUGAAAUGAUGCAAAUCCUUCGCCAAAUGCACCAUGAUCAGCACGACUACGCUUUCAGAACCGAACAGAACAUGUUCAACUUGAUCGAUGAAAUGACAACAUUGACAAUGCGUGUGGAAGAUUUCCAGAACUAUACGCCACCUCACCAGCCAGGAAAUGGUGGACGUCAACGUACACGUGGCAGAAGGCGUCAGUAGCAGAAUAACCAGGUUCUACCUUUUUUUCCUAUCUUAUGUCGUUGCAUUGGGGAUAAUGCAAGAUUUAAGUAUGGGGGAGGAAGCUUUACCGCUUUUUAUUUACCGCUUUCUAGUUAAAUUUAAAUUAUUGUUAUUUCCUUUUGUUAUUUUAUAUUCUUUUGGUUAUUUUAAUUUUUGUUAAAGUGUCAGUCAAGUUAAAUAUCAAUGUGCUGUCGAGUCUUUAUGCGUGGUUUCCGUUAUUUACUAAUUCUCCUAUUUACUUAAGCCAUAUAAAUUUUUUGCAAAAAUCUAGACUUAGAGAUACAAUGCAUCUUUUGAAAAUUCUAAACUAUAAAUCAAACUGAGGUUGAAUUGUAGAGAUUUGGUAAAAACUUUAUAAGAUCGAUAUCGUUUUAACACCUUAAAUCUCCCAAGUAUAAGAUCGACUUGAGUACUUGUCAUGCCAUAGCCUUAAAUUCUAUCCUUUAAUAUUUCCUUAAGUAGUUUAUCUAGCAGUCAGCACCAUCCUAAGCACACACUAUGCAAGAAGUCGAUGCAAAUAAGUGUAUGAUUUCAGGCUUAAAAGAAGAAAAGAUUACAAAAUGUAUGAAAAAUGUUGUUCCCUUUAAGUUAGGUGAUCCUCACUCGGUCAUUUAGCCCAACGGUAUAACCAUCUUCAAUUGUUAUUUGAGCCAAAGUGCGAAAAAGAAAUAAAUAAAUAAUGAUGAGAUCAUAGUCACUAACAGACUAUCUUGCUAUGAAUGUGAAAGGAUAACAGGCUUAAUGUGAUUGCGCCAGAAUGAAAAAAGAUAAAAAGAAGGUUUAGUAAGGUAGACUUAGGCAUGACAACAUGAUUCAGAUUGGUUUGUAUAGGAGGGAGACUUAUGGUUGCAACAUUGCGACUGUGUGUUCUAACGAUACCCUUAGUGUGGAAGUGAGUACCUGUUAAUACAAUUUUAAACCAAAGUAAAGUUUAUAGACUAGAAUGAGUAUCCGAAUGCAACUAUGUUUUUUACGAGUGUUGAUGAUGUAUGCUGCAAAUAUUUUACAAAACUUUUUUUAUGUACGCGACAUUUGCUUAAGGACAAGCAAAUGUUUAAGUAUGGGGGAGUUUGAUAACGCGAAAACGUAUCGUAUUUUUGGCUCCAUAUGCAUUACUUUUUACUCGAUUAACACUUAUUAUUAUGCAGUAUUUCAUGUUUAUUGUAGGUAUUUAUCGAUUAAAAGGUUUAUCGCAAGCAAAAUGGAAAAUAGAAAAAAGAAAAGAAAAAGGAAAGAAAAAGAGAAGAAAAUGAAGCUUUCAAAGAGAUAAUGGACCACCAAAGCAAAUGGACUUGUGGCGCCCAAUAUCCAAGGAGUGUGGCGCCCGCUACAUUGGCCCAAGAGGUAGGUGGCGGCCGCCACCAGCCCUUGAGAAGUGGUUGCUACAAAGGUGGCGCCCGCCACUCAUUAAGAAGUUAGAGUUGUGGCAACCGCCACAACCUAGUCUUCCACCAUUUUCUCCACCUUCUUAGCCACGAUUGCCACCACCUUGCUACAUUUUAGGGAUUGCGGAAAAGUUAUAAAAGUGGAACCUCUCAGACUCACACGUCUCUCUCUUCUUCCAGUUUUCAAGUUCACGAUUAAUUUUAUUCAGCAUUAUUUUUCUUUUAGUUUUCAAGGCAGUUUCCUCACUCUGUAAAAGUGAUAGUUCUCCACAUCGGGGACUAUUACAGUUUAUUAUUUUUACGCAUUUGGGAUUCAAUUGUACGUAUUAUUCAUUGCCAAAGCCUGCCAGAAUUAUUUUAAUCGAAGAUUCAAGAUUCAGUUCCAGUUCUUAAAUUGCAA